rnacentral:piRNA from 1 species
UCCUAACUCGGAUGCUUGCUUGCACA